UACGUAGGGUGCAAGCGUUAAUCGGAAUUACUGGGCGUAAAGCGCACGUAGGCGGAUCGAUCAGUCAGGGGUGAAAUCCCAGAGCUCAACUCUGGAACUGCCUUUGAUACUGUCGAUCUAGAGUAUGGAAGAGGUGAGUGGAAUUCCGAGUGUAGAGGUGAAAUUCGUAGAUAUUCGCAAGAACACCAGUGGCGAAGGCGGCUCACUGGCCCGAUACUGACGCUGAGGCACGAAAGCGUGGGGAGCAAACAGG
rnacentral:rRNA from 1 species